rnacentral:lncRNA from 1 species
UUUUUCUGCGGUUGCGUCUUUUUUCAUUAAAGCCCACGCUUUAUUUGCGCUUUGCGCUUAAAGCCCCAAUGGACCUUAGAGCUUUUUGCGCUUUUCGCCUUUGAUAACACUGGUCUAUCAUUUAAUCUUAAAUGUAUUGAGUUGCUGCAUUUUUUUGCGCUUUUCGUCUUUGAUAACACUAUCUCAUGAUUGCUAAGCUUAUUCCUUAAAGAAAUAUUCAUUCUCCUUCACAAAUGCAUAUUUGCCACGUUAUCUUCUUAAUGCAUAGAAACAACUGUGUGCUCCAUCAAUUGUCAUUGGCCAGAAUAUUACUUUGCAUCCUCAGUCCUGCAUUGUUAAAAAAGAUUUAUGUAUUUUUGGACCAUGUUCCUGCAUUAAACCAAUACGAUUCUGUUGGUGUGUGAUUGAAUUAUAAGAGAGAGUCAUCACUUUGAGGAUAUGUUUGCUAGUUCUGCUGCCCUACAGGGAGCAGAGAGUGCUAGUUUUUUUUUUUUGUCUUUGAAAGGCUUCCUUAGUUUUGCAGGCUUGCACCUAAUUAUCACUUGACAAGGAACUUGUUUAUAGUUCCUAUUUUGAUUUGCCAUCAAUGAUACUGGGUUGUCACUUAGAUUAGUGUGAUGUUGGAAUAAUAAAACUUACACCAAUAUUCCUGGAUUGAUGUGUAAUAAUAGUAGUAGUAGUAGAUGUUGCAAGUAAUUUUCUAGCCAUUUUCGUUAUUGAAUUGGAUCUAUCAGUUGAUACUGAGA